rnacentral:rRNA from 1 species
CCCUUAGAGUUUGAUCCUGGCUCAAAUUGAACGCUGGCGGCAGGCCUAACACAUGCAAGUCGAACGGUAACAGGAAGAAGCUUGCUUCUUUGCUGACGAGUGGCGGACGGGUGAAUAAUGUCUGGGAAACUGCCUGAUGGAGGGGGAUAACUACUGGAAACGGUAGCUAAUACCGCAUAACGUCGCAAGACCAAAAAGGGGGACCUUCGGGCCUCUUGCCAUCGGAUGUGCCCAGAUGGGAUUAGCUAGUAGGUGGGGUAACGGCUCACCUAGGCGACGAUCCCUAGCUGGUCUGAGAGGAUGACCAGCCACACUGGAACUGAGACACGGUCCAGACUCCUACGGGAGGCAGCAGUGGGGAAUAUUGGACAAUGGGCGCAAGCCUGAUGCAACCAUGCCGCGUGUAUGAAGAAGGCCUUCGGGUUGUAAAGUACUUUCAGCGGGGAGGAAGGGAGUAAAGUUAAUACCUUUGCUCA